rnacentral:rRNA from 1 species
CCUACGGGAGGCAGCAGUGGGGAAUAUUGCACAAUGGGCGAAAGCCUGAUGCAGCGACGCCGCGUGAGGGAUGACGGCCUUCGGGUUGUAAACCUCUUUCAGCAGGGAAGAAGCGAAAGUGACGGUACCUGCAGAAGAAGCGCCGGCUAACUACGUGCCAGCAGCCGCGGUAAUACGUAGGGCGCAAGCGUUGUCCGGAAUUAUUGGGCGUAAAGAGCUCGUAGGCGGCUUGUCACGUCGGAUGUGAAAGCCCGGGGCUUAACCCCGGGUCUGCAUUCGAUACGGGCUAGCUAGAGUGUGGUAGGGGAGAUCGGAAUUCCUGGUGUAGCGGUGAAAUGCGCAGAUAUCAGGAGGAACACCGGUGGCGAAGGCGGAUCUCUGGGCCAUUACUGACGCUGAGGAGCGAAAGCGUGGGGAGCGAACAGGAUUAGAUACCCUGGUAGUCCACGCCGUAAACGUUGGGAACUAGGUGUUGGCGACAUUCCACGUCGUCGGUGCCGCNGCUACGACAUUAACGUUACCCGUCCGUCGGGAGGUACGGCCGCGACGACGUAAACUACAAGGAAGUAGACGGCGUGAGACGNGCCGACGGACGACCGACGAGGGAGGUAGG